GGGGUCAUACCCGGAGAAGUGGUUUUCGCCACGCUGUCAAGAAAAACCUCGUAAUGAAUGCACAGUGUGUCCGUACCGUAAACCGACACAGGUGGGCGAGUUGAAUAUACUAAGGCGCGCGAGAGAACUCUAGCUAAGGAACUCGGCAAUCUACCCCCGUAACUUCGGAAGAAGGGGGGCCCCAUGUCUUAACUCCGUACAGGAGAAGGGAUGAGGGGUUGCAGAGAAAUGGGUCUCGUGACUGUUUAACAAAAACACAGGACUCUGCUGAAAUCACAAGAUGAUGUAUAGGGUCUGACGCCUGCCCGGUGCUGGAAGGUCAAGGAGAGAUGUCAUUGGGGGUAACCCUGAGAAGCAUUGAACUUAAGCCCCAGUAAACGGCGGCCGUAACUAUAACGGUCCUAAGGUAGCGAAAUUCCUUGUCGGGUAAGUUCCGACCUGCACGAAUGGCGUAACAAAGAGACCGCUGUCUCAGCUAGAGGCUCGGCGAAAUUGUGGUAUCCGUGAAGACGCGGAUUACCUGCGGUUAGACGAAAAGACCCCGUGGAGCUUUACUGUAUGUUAUUAAUGCAUUGCGGGAUUGGAUGCGUAGGAUAGGUGGGAGCCCUUGAAACCCCUCUUUUGGGAGGGGAGGAGGCGACCUUGAAAUACCCCCCUUCUGGUUUUGCGAUGCUAACCCUAUGCCCUGAAUCGGGCUGGGGGACAUUGAUAGCUUGGCAGUUUGACUGGGGCGGUUGCCUCCUAGAGAGUAACGGAGGCGUCCAAAGGUUCGCUCAGCCCGAAUAGAAAUCGGGUGUCGAGUGUAAGGACAGAAGCGAGCUUUACUGUGAGGGAGACAUCCCGACCAGUUGCGAAAGCAGGGCCUAGUGAUCCGGCGGUUUGAAUGUGGAAUUGCCGUCGCUCAUCGAAUAAAAGCUACCCCGGGGAUAACAGGCUUAUCGGAUCCAAGAGCCCAUACCUACGAUCCGGUUUGGCACCUCGAUGUCGGCUCAUCGCAUCCUCCCGCUGAAGCUGGUGGGAAGGGUUGGGCUGUUCGCCCAUUAAAGCGGUACGUGAGCUGGGUUCAGUACGUCGUGAGACAGUACGGUCUCUAUCUACCGUGGGCGUUGGAGUUUUGAGGGAAUCUGUCCCUAGUACGAGAGGACCGGGACGGACGCGCCUCUGGUGUACCAGUUGUCCUGCCAAGGGCAUUGCUGGGUAGCUAUUGCGCGGAAGGGAUAAACGCUGAAAGCAUCUAAGCGUGAAGCCUAUCCCGAGAUGAGAACUCCCUCUUCGAGCAAUCGAGGAGAUGACCUCCAGAAGACUACUGGUUUGAUAGGCUGGGUGUGGAAGCGCAGUAAUGCGUGGAGCUUACCAGUACUAAUCGGUCAUGUGACUUAGCC
rnacentral:rRNA from 1 species